rnacentral:rRNA from 1 species
GACAGAGGGUGCGAACGUUGCUCGGAAUUACUGGGCGUAAAGCGCGUGUAGGCGGACGAUCAAGUCAGAUGUGAAAUCCCUGGCUCAACCCAGGAACUGCAUUUGAAACUGGUCGCCUUGAGUGUUGGAGAGGGAAGCGGAAUUCCUGGUGUAGAGGUGAAAUUCGUAGAUAUCAGGAGGAACACCGGUGGCGAAGGCGGCUUCCUGGACAACUACUGACGCUGAGACGCGAAAGCGUGGGGAGCAAACAGGG